AUUGAACGCUGGCGGAAUGCUUUACACAUGCAAGUCGAGCGGCAGCGCGGCCUUCGGGCUGGCGGCGAGCGGCGAACGGGUGAGUAAUGCAUCGGAACAUGCCCAGUCGUGGGGGAUAACACUUCGAAAGAAGUGCUAAUACCGCAUACGUCCUGAGGGGGAAAGCGGGGGAUCGCAAGACCUCGCGCGACUGGAGUGGCCGAUGUCAGAUUAGCUAGUUGGUGGGGUAAAGGCCUACCAAGGCGACGAUCUGUAGCUGGUCUGAGAGGAUGAUCAGCCACACUGGGACUGAGACACGGCCCAGACUCCUACGGGAGGCAGCAGUGGGGAAUUUUGGACAAUGGGGGCAACCCUGAUCCAGCCAUUCCGCGUGAGUGAAGAAGGCCUUCGGGUUGUAAAGCUCUUUCGGCAGGAACGAAACGGUGGGCUCUAACAUAGUCCGCUAAUGACGGUACCUGAAGAAGAAGCACCGGCUAACUACGUG
rnacentral:rRNA from 1 species